rnacentral:rRNA from 1 species
CUAAAAACACAGCACUCUGCAAACUUGCAAAAGGAAGUAUAGAGUGUGACGCCUGCCCGGUGCUGGAAGGUUAAGUGAUGAUGUUAGUCUUUGGACGAAGCAUUUGACCGAAGCCCCAGUGAACGGCGGCCGUAACUAUAACGGUCCUAAGGUAGCGAAAUUCCUUGUCGGGUAAGUUCCGACCUGCACGAAUGGCGUAACGACUUCCCCGCUGUCUCCGGCAUCGACUCAGUGAAAUUGAAUUCCCCGUGAAGAUGCGGGGUAUCUGCGGUCAGACGGAAAGACCCCGUGAACCUUUACUACAGUUUUGCGCUGGCGUUUGCGGCGGAAUGUGCAGGAUAGGCGGUAGACGAUGAGGACGAGACGCCAGUUUCGUCGGAGUCAAAAGAUGAGAUACCGCCCUUUUCGUCGCGUGCGUCUAACGGCGGUCCGUUGAUCCGGAUCCCGGACACCGCAUGACGGGUAGUUUGACUGGGGCGGUCGCCUCCCAAAGAGUAACGGAGGCGCGCGAAGGUGGGCUCAGGCUGGUCGGAAAUCAGUCGUCGAGUGCAAUGGCAAAAGCCCGCCUGACUGCGAGACGGACACGUCGAGCAGAGACGAAAGUCGGUCAUAGUGAUCCGGUGGUCCCGCGUGGAAGGGCCAUCGCUCAACGGAUAAAAGGUACGCCGGGGAUAACAGGCUAAUUCCUCCCAAGAGUCCACAUCGACGGAGGAGUUUGGCACCUCGAUGUCGGCUCAUCACAUCCUGGGGCUGUAGCAGGUCCCAAGGGUAUGGCUGUUCGCCAUUUAAAGCGGUACGCGAGUUGGGUUCAGAACGUCGUGAGACAGUUUGGUCCCUAUCUGCCGUGGGUGUUGGAAACUUGAAAGGGGCUGUCCCUAGUACGAGAGGACCGGGAUGGACAUACCUCUGGUGUUCCGAUUGUGGUGCCAGCUGCACCGUCGGGUAGCUAAGUAUGGAAACGAUAACCGCUGAAAGCAUCUAAGCGGGAAGCGUGCCUUGAGACUGGGUUUCCUUUGAGGGUUGUUGCAGACUACGACUUUGAUAGGCUUGGGGUGGAAGCGCAGUGAUGUGUGAAGCUGACGAGUACUAAUUGCCCGAAG